AGUUUUUUGAAAAUAUAAAAGAUGUUGUCUGCCCAAUGAGUUUAUUUAAAUGGCCAUGGUAUUUAUGACUAUGCUAAGGUAGCAUAAUCAUUUGUCUUAUAAAUUAAGACUAGAAUGAAUGGAGAAAUGGGGCAAUUCUUUCUUUAAUUAAAAAUUAAAAAUAAUUUUUUUAGUGAAGAAACUAAAAUGAGAAUGAGGGACGAGAAGACCCUAUUAAGCUUAAUAUAAGUUAUUUUGUUGGGGAAACAAAAGAAUAAAAUUUCUUUAAAUAUGUAUAUUGAUAGAUUAAGAUUUAAUUUUAUUAAUAAUAGAAUAAGUUACUAUAGGGAUAACAGCAUAAUUUUUUUGGAGAGUUCUUAUUGAUAAAGAAGAUUAUGACCUCGAUGUUGGAUUAAAAAUAUUGUUUAAUGAAGUUGUUUUAUAAAUUAGUCUGUUCGACUAUUAAAAUUUUACA
rnacentral:rRNA from 1 species